UAGUUCGAGUAUCCUAACUCCUUGCAUUAGCCUGAUCUGCUUUUUCUCGUAUUUGUGACUUGAGUAUGUCUUUGUCUUUGUGCCUCUAACUUUGGAGAUUAGAACCACUUCAGAAGAAGUUCCACCAUUCAGAUCACUGUGGUAGUUCUAUUUACUCAAAGAGCCUAAUUGAUCCUGGCUUGGCUACUUAUUUGACUUGGUUUAGUAGAAUGGCAAAUGAGAAUGAAGUGCUUAUUCUCUUUGGUGACAUGCCACACACAGAUGUGUAUUUGUUCAAUCUUUUGUCGUAUUUACGAGAAGGUGUUAAUCUUAUUUGUUAU
rnacentral:lncRNA from 1 species